AGGACGAACGCUGGCGGCGUGCUUAACACAUGCAAGUCGAGCGGUGAAGUCCCUUCGGGGGCGGAUCAGCGGCGAACGGGUGAGUAACACGUGGGCAACCUGCCCUUAGCACUGGGAUAACUCCGAGAAAUCGGGGCUAAUACCGGUUAUUACCUUCGGUGGCAUCUUCGAAGGUGGAAAGCUCCGGCGGCUAAGGAUGGGCCCGCGGCCUAUCAGCUUGUUGGUGAGGUAACGGCUCACCAAGGCGACG
rnacentral:rRNA from 1 species